UCUCCUGGCAGCCCGUUCAAGCACCCAUCUGUGGACCCGUUCAUCCAGCUCUGGCCAUCUUGAUUUUAGCCCGCGAUUAGUAAGCUUCCUUUCUUUUCUUCAUUUCAGUAGAAGAAUAACUUUUUCACCAGUUCCUCACAAGUUUCUCUCUCACUCCAAACUUUCUUUCUGCUGCUUGAUUACUGCCUUCAGCUGCAUAUUUUACUACCUGCAGUUUCCUGCAGCUUGUUU